rnacentral:rRNA from 1 species
CCUACGGGAGGCAGCAGUAGGGAAUAUUGCUCAAUGGGGGCAACCCUGAAGCAGCAACGCCGCGUGUAGGAUGAAGGUUUUAGGGUUGUAAACUACUUUUGUUAGAGAGGAUUAUGACGGUGUCUAUCGAAUAAGCACUGGCUAACUCCGUCACAGCAGCCGCGGUAAGACGGAGGGUGCGCGCGUUACUCGGAAUCACUGGGCGUAAAGAGUGCGUAGGCGGGGUAAGAAGUCAGAUGUGAAAUCCUGUAGCUUAACUACAGAACUGCAUUUGAAACUGUUACUCUGGAGUGUGGGAGAGGGAGGUAGAAUUCUUGGUGUAGGGGUAAAAUCCGUAGAGAUCAAGAGGAAUACUCAUGGCGAAGGCGACCCGCUGGAACAUGACUGACGCUGAGGUACGAAAGCGUGGGGAGCAAACAGGAUUAGAUACCCGAGUAGUC